UACAGAGGGUGCAAGCGUUGUUCGGAAUUACUGGGCGUAAAGGGCGCGUAGGCGGCCUGCUAAGUCGAACGUGAAAUCCCCGAGCUCAACUCGGGAACUGCGGCCGAUACUGACAGGCUUGAAUGCGGGAGAGGGAUGCGGAAUUCCAGGUGUAGCGGUGAAAUGCGUAGAUAUCUGGAGGAACACCGGUGGCGAAGGCGGCGCUCUGGACUGCAACUGACACUGAGAGACGAAAGCCAGGGGAGCAAACGGG
rnacentral:rRNA from 1 species